GACGAACGCUGGCGGCGUGCUUAACACAUGCAAGUCGAACGAUGACGACCGAGCUUGCUCGGUCUGAUUAGUGGCGAACGGGUGAGUAACACGUGAGCAACCUGCCCUUCACUCUGGGAUAACCUCGGGAAAUCGGGGCUAAUACCGGAUAUGAGCUCCUGUCGCAUGGCGGGUGUUGGAAAGUUUUUCGGUGAAGGAUGGGCUCGCGGCCUAUCAGUUUGUUGGUGAGGUAGUGGCUCACCAAGGCGAUGACGGGUAGCCGGCCUGAGAGGGCGACCGGCCACACUGGGACUGAGACACGGCCCAGACUCCUACGGGAGGCAGCAGUGGGGAAUAUUGCACAAUGGGCGAAAGCCUGAUGCAGCGGCGCCGCGUGAGGGAUGACGGCCUUCGGGUUGUAAACCUCUUUCAGCAGGGAAGAAGCGAAAGUGACGGUACCUGCAGAAGAAGCGCCGGCUAACUACGUG
rnacentral:rRNA from 1 species